GAUGUGGGUGAGAAUCCCACAGGCCGUAAACCCAAGGUUUCCAGGGGAAGGUUCGUCCGCCCUGGGUUAGUCGGGACCUAAGCUGAGGCCGAAAGGCGUAGGCGAUGGACAACAGGUUGAUAUUCCUGUACUACCGAUAACCGUUUGAGAGAAGGGAUGACACAGUAGGAUAAGCUAAGCACACUGUUGGUUAUGUGUGCCCAAG
rnacentral:rRNA from 1 species